GUUUUCUGUAAUUGAGUAGACUCAAUUUUUUUAGCACAUGCAUGUCCGAAAUCAGCUAACAGAUGAAUCAAAUGGAACACAAAAUAGGAAGUUGUGUCAUUGACAAGCAAAUCUGGAUUUGCAGUUGUCUCUGAAGAGGAAGAAGAAGCAUAGAAGUAGGGACUGACAAAACUGCAUCUCAAAUCUCCCUUAACCUAUAUCCCCAAGGGGAGUUUAUCUACUAGAAAUUGGCGUAGUUGGAUGCUUUUGUAUUGACUCAAGAAACAUACUGCACAGUUGAUGAAGAAAAAUGAGACAUGGAAAUGAUUACAAACUAGAUGGAGAGGAUUAUGAAGAAGCCCUGGUUUGUACACACAAAAACUUUCAAAGGCUUUUCAUCUAUGGAUUUUGGGUGUCUCAACAGCAUGAGAUAUUGGUUUUCUAUAUUAAGUAGUAGUAGAAAUUAUGCCAAUUUCACUAUAGAAGGACGAGUCAAUAACUAUCCUAAUGUAUGCAUCAGCUGAACCUCUAAGAAUACAUUCAAACAAUGUGAGAUCUUAUUUGUCUU